CAGCAGCCACGGGAAAACGAAGGGGGCUAGCGUUGUUCGGAUUUACUGGGCGUAAAGGGCGCGUAGGCGGACUGAUAAGUCAGGGGUGAAAUCCCAAGGCUCAACCUUGGAACUGCCUUUGAUACUGUUUGUCUUGAGUUCGAGAGAGGUAAGUGGAACUGCGAGUGUAGAGGUGAAAUUCGUAGAUAUUCGCAAGAACACCAGUGGCGAAGGCGGCUUACUGGCUCGAAACUGACGCUGAGGCGCGAAAGCGUGGGGAGCAAACAGGAUUAGAUACCCCCGUAGUCCCUGUCUCUUAUAA
rnacentral:rRNA from 1 species